UCCUCCUCCACCUCAUGUGCCAGCUGGAGCCGGGAGCGGUGCGUGCGCGCUGGUGCGUGAUGUGACAGCGCGCCGUGGAGACGCAGCGCGCUCAGUUUGGGCUCAUUGUGUUUGCCGACAGUGGCGCGGACAGCAGUUCGAACGGGAUUUGGAAUAAGAAACGCGUUGCUGUUUUCUGACUUGGAGAGAAGAAAGAAGGGACACUCCUCUGGAAUUUCCUCAGGACUUGAUUCGGACAGCUUUGAUGUGACCAACGAUUCCAGCGUAGGGAGAUUCUGAGGGGUUCUCUUCUUUCAUCGCUCUGGUCUGACGCAGCAACUGCAGCAAAGUGUUCCAAACAGGUGGGGAAAAAGGGGGCGUUCAGUUCUCUGGUGUGUCGGUGAGGUAUAACAGCAGCAUUGGGCAGCAUGUUGGCACCUGCAUGACCGGCAAAGAGGCACCUCAUUUCUUGUUCUCUUUCCUGAGACAUCAACCACAGGAUGAGGUCUGCGGCAGGUCUCAGGAGAGAGAAUGUUCCAUGACUUUCACACCUUUGACCUCAAGCUUUUGAAGCAUUGGGACGGUUGCUUGGGUGCUCAAAGGCUGUGAAUACCCUGCAUCUGAGAAAUCAGACCAGACUGACUCACAGGGCUCUGUGAGCCAGCGCCACCGAGGCUGCCAAAGCAUGCUGGUGCCAAGCUGUCCCACCAUGCACAGAGCCAGACCCAC